rnacentral:rRNA from 1 species
CCUACGGGAGGCUGCAGUGGGGAAUAUUGGGCAAUGGAGGAAACUCUGACCCAGCGACGCCGCGUGCGGGAUGAAGGCCUUCGGGUUGUAAACCGCUUUCAGUAGGGAAGAAGCGAAAGUGACGGUACCUACAAAAGAAGCACCGGCUAACUAUGUGCCAGCAGCCGCGGUAAUACAUAGGGUGCAAGCGUUGUCCGGAAUUAUUGGGCGUAAAGAGCUCGUAGGUUGUUUGUUACGUCGGAUGUGAAAACCUGAGGCUCAACCUCAGGCCUGCAUUCGAUACGGGCAAACUAGAGUUUGGUAGGGGAGACUGGAAUUCCUGGUGUAGCGGUGGAAUGCGCAGAUAUCAGGAGGAACACCAAUGGCGAAGGCAGGUCUCUGGGCCAAUACUGACACUGAGGAGCGAAAGUCUGGGGAGCGAACAGGAUUAGAUACCCCAGUAGUC